AUAGAGCCCGGGCCACCUGCCCUUCCAACAGCAGCAGGUUAAAGGCCAGUGCCCAGCACACACCCCAGAUGACCCCUGUCCCAGAGCACAGGCCAUGCCUGCCCUCUCUGCUCUGCUGGGACAGUCACUGCUGUUCCCGUGCAGACGGGGAAGACGAGGGACAGUCACUGCUGUUCCCGUGCAGAUGGGGAAGAUGAGGGUGAAAGGUCGUGCAGCGUGGUGGGGCGGGCCAGCCUCCUGGGACGUGGCCACCGGGCAUGCUGCUUGGCUGUGGCCUCCCGAGGUGGGCUGCUGGUGUGAGGCUUUGCACAGGGCAGGCCGUGGAAUGGGAUGGGCCUUUCUCCUCUGGGCGAGGUGUUUGGUUUCAGAGGGAAGACCAGGCAGGGCUUCCAGUUGUGUUUCUUAAGCUGCUUUGGUGCAAGGGUCAUGGUGAGGAGGUGUCAUGUUCUGGAACCUGGCUGGCUCUCAGUCCUGGGCUCAGAGCCCCUAUCUCCGGCCUGGUUUUCCCCAGGUGUUUUCACUGGGAGGAAACACCAGGCACACCUGUCAGCUCCCUCUCAUGGGCAGGGAGAGGGAGUCUCCAGCACCGUGCGACCCCACCGUGUUACUGGCUAUCCCCUCUGCUGUCCCGCAGGCUUCCCUCAAGGGGACCCGGUAUCUGACCCUGCCUGAAUGUGUCUGUGGAGGCCAGGCGCCUUCUGAUGGCCUUGCCUGCCCCGCCCCCUGCUCCCACAUCACCCAGCGAUGGGAUUCCGACCUGCUGCAGCACCACCCCAUGCACCUGAACUCCAGGCACGUCACAUCGUCCAGCCUGGGCGAGCUGCUGGCCAGGCCCCCUGCUUCCGCAGGCGUUUCUGUCCAGGUCAGACAAGGGUGCGGCAUUGGUCUCAAGCAGGUCGGGUGCAGCUGCCAAGGCUGCACGUCCUUCAGGUGCAUUUCCCAAGCUGACUGUCAAGCGUCCUGGGAAAGUAGCUGGCUGGCAGUGGGCGUGUUGGGACAGUGUCCUGCUGCCAUCCACACAUCUUCAUUACGUGUCCUGAAAUCAACAGUCAAGACUGUGGACUCUGUGGGGUGACUGCAGCUUCUAGUCGUGAUAAUUGUUCUGAUGAGCAGAUGAUCCACAGGCCCUCCUUUUACGUUUCACACGUUGUAUGAAUUACCGUCACAGGGUUUUGUUAAACAUUCAGCUAAAAACACUCUGUAAUUUUAGAAGGAAGACAGCCUCCUCCAGGAGCAUCUUACCCAACCUCUUGUCACCAUACCAAAUGGCGAUCCGAGCAAAAAGACUGGAAGAGAGCCGAGCGGCGGCGCUCCAAGAGCUCCGGGAGAAGCAGGCUCUGAUGGAGCAGCAGAGACGAGAGAAAAGGGCACUGCAGGAGUGGAGAGAGCGAGCCCAGAGGAUGAGGAAGAGGAAGGAAGAACUCAGCAAACUCCUGCCUCCGCGGAGGAGCAUGGUGGCAUCAAAGAUUCCCUCUGCUACAGAUCUGGUAGAUAACGGGAAAGUACCACUGAAUCCACCUGGAAAAAUGAAACCAAGCAAAGAGAAAUCGCCACGAUCAAGUAAAGAAAUGAGUGCCCUCCAGGAGGGAAAUUUAGAAGAGAAGAUAAAACAGCACAUCCCCCAAAUGCACGAGCAGAGAAGAUUCCAUGGCCAGGCCCCGCUGGAGGAGAUGAGGAAGGCUGCCGAGGAUCUGCAAAUUGCCACAGAGCUACAGGAUGAAGUAUUGAAGCUGAAAUUGGGAUUAACCUUGAACAAAGACCGUCGAUGGGCGGCCCUCACUGGAAACCUUUCUCUUGGCCUGCCAGCGGCACAGCCUCAAAAUACAUUUUUUAACACAAAAUAUGAAGAAUCAGGAAAUGUUCGCAGACACCAGUGACACCAGGUGGCUGGACUGAUGGAGACGUCUUCAGACAGGAGCCGCUCAGUCUUCUUUCCCGGGCGUCGCCUCCUGUGUGGUGGCCGGAAGAGCCCAGGUUCAGUGUUACCCUUAGGGCUGAUUUCACGCAGCCUGUUGUUUUCCUUAGACAGGUCCACGUUCCUCUCCUGAGGCUGUGGAAGAUUUCAGCCGUACUAAAAGAAAGGACACUGUGAGCAUGUGGUCUCGCCUUCCCUUCUUUCUGCAGGUUCCUGCCAAGCCACGUGACAGAAUGCUCAUGCUCAGGCACCUGCCUCUCUCCUGUCCUGGAGCCCUUGUUACAAAAGUCCUCGCAGCUUACAGCUUUCAUUCACUUAUUUGAGGGUAGGAGAGGAUACCAGGUCACCCGAUUCCCGCCAAGCCGGAAGUCCCUGCAGCACCACCUUUGGCUAGGAGGGAGGGGUGACAGCCAAAAAGGGCUUCGGAAGAGUGGUUACCCUGCUCCCUGCCCAGCGACAGGCCUUCCUUUCCCCUGCUCCCUGCCCGGCUACAGGGUCCUCCUUUCAGCCUUGACCCCCUCCUGGUUGCUACCAGUCAGCCUCCCCAGGGACACAGCGGGGUCCACAGACCUCCCCAUCAUAGAUCAGCCUUAUUUCAUGCUGUCUGCCCAGGCUGUGGAGAUUCUGUGUGACUUCGUCUCUUGUGCUGAGUGUUUGAUUGGAUCUUGAAAACAUCUUUGGUUUGAUUUCUGUAACAGAGGUGAGACUAUUC
rnacentral:sRNA from 1 species